UACGAAGGGGGCUAGCGUUGCUUGGAAUCACUGGGCGUAAAGGGUGCGUAGGCGGGUCUUUAAGUCAGGGGUGAAAUCCUGGAGCUCAACUCCAGAACUGCCUUUGAUACUGAAGAUCUUGAGUUCGGGAGAGGUGAGUGGAACUGCGAGUGUAGAGGUGAAAUUCGUAGAUAUUCGCAAGAACACCAGUGGCGAAGGCGGCUCACCUGGCCCGAUCUGACGCUGAGGCACGAAAGCGUGGGGAGCA
rnacentral:rRNA from 1 species